rnacentral:lncRNA from 1 species
CCCUGAUCAUCUCUUUCAUCUCCAAAACCUCCAAAACUCUCCAAAAUUCUCCUAAGCUUUCCAGAAAUUCAUAAUCAUGGCCAAUCCCCCAAUAUAAUCCUAGAACUUCACCUCGCGUUUCAUAAAACUUCACCCUAUCUACUUCACUUCCCAUAGAAACCCCAAAACCAAGAUUCUGUCGCCAGAAAAUGCUUGCAAGAAAAACUAUUGCUACUGGUUCCCUUAGGAAAUCGUUGAAUGCAAAACUAUAGUCCUGCCAAAGAGGCAAGUCUCAGCAACAGAG